CCAGUAUUAGAGGCACUGCUGCCCAGUGACAUAUGUUCAACGGCCGCGGUAUCCUGACCGUGCAAAGGUAGCAUAAUCAUUUGUUCUCUAAUUAAGGACUUGAAUGAAAGGCCACACGAGGGUUAAACUGUCUCCUGCUCUCAAUCAGUGAAAUUGACCUUCCCGUGAAGAGGCGGGAAUAUAAUAACAAGACGAGAAGACCCUAUGGAGCUUAAAUUCAUUAACCCAAAUAAUCUUAUAUAAUUACCUACAUAGGCAUAAUUAUUAUCAAUUAUGGGUUAUAGAUUUCGGUUGGGGUGACCUCGGAGUAUAAUUCAACCUCCGAAUAAUUUUAGCCUAGACUUUACCAGUCAAAUCAACUCAUAUAGUUAAUUGACCCAAACUAGUUUGAUCAAUGGAACAAGUUACCCUAGGGAUAACAGCGCAAUCCUAUUAUAGAGUCCAUAUCGACAAUAGGGUUUACGACCUCGAUGUUGGAUCAGGACAUCCCAAUGGUGUAACCGCUAUUAAAGGUCCGUUUGUUC
rnacentral:rRNA from 1 species